AGGUCAAGCUACUAAGGGUCCACGGAGGAUGCCUUGGCGUCAAGGGCCGAAGAAGGGCGUGGCAUGACUGCGAAAAGCCGCGGUGAGCUGUCUAGCGAACUUAGCCGCGGAUACCCGAAUGGGGCAACCCUACCGCCGUCAUGGGCGGUAACCCCUUUACUGAACACAUAGGUUUAGGGGAGGCCAGUGGGGGAACUGAAACAUCUUAGUACCCCGAGGAAAAUACAUCAAAAGAGAUUCCGUUAGUAGUGGCGAACGAACGCGGAUCAGCCUAAACCGUUAGCACUUAGUGGGCGGCAGCCCUAUGUGUUAACGGGGUUGUGAGCCAGAACUGGGUGAACUGCUGUGAUCCCAAAGAGUUACCAACCCGACCCUAGCCAAAUGCCCUGGAACGGGCAGCCGUAGUGGGUGACAGCCCCGUAGGCGAAAGGGAGAGGCUCUUGUUCUGUGCUCGAGUACCACGGGACACGUGAAAUCCUGUGGGAAGCUGGGGGGACCACCCUCCAAGGCUAAAUACCCUUGACGACCGAUAGUGAACCAGUACCGUGAGGGAAAGGUGAAAAGCACCCCGGGAGGGGAAUGAAAUAGACCUGAAACCGUGGACCUACAAGCGGUCAGAGCCCUGUAAGGGGUGAUGGCGUGCCUAUUGAAGAAUGAGCCGGCGAGUUACUCUCAGUGGCUGUUAUGGUUAAGGCAUUGGCAUGCUGGAGCCGCAGCGAAAGCGAGUCUGAUAAGGGCGUACAGGUCGCUGGGAGUAGACCCGAAACUGUGUGAUCUACCCAUGGCCAGGGUGAAGCGAAGGUAAAACUUCGUGGAGGCCCGAACCUUCUAGCGUUGCAAAGCUAUUGGAUGAGUUGUGGGUAGCGGUGAAAUGCCAAACGAACACAGAGAUAGCUGGUUCUCCCCGAAAUGCAUUGAGGUGCAGCCUCAGGUGUUUAUCGAUGGAGGUAGGGCUCUGGAUGAACUAGGGGGCACGACGCUUACCAAACUCAACUAAUCCGCAAAUGCCAUCGAUUCAGAGCCUGGGAGUGAGACUGUGGGGGAUAAGCUUCAUGGUCGAGAGGGAAACAGCCCAGAUCCUCAGCUAAGGUCCCUAAGUGUGAGCUAAGUGUCAAACGAGGUAGUGCCGCCCAGACAACCAGGAGGUUGGCUUAGAAGCAGCCAUCCUUUAAAGAGUGCGUAAUAGCUCACUGGUCGAGGGGUGCUGCGCGGACAAUGUACCGGGGCUAAGCUCAUCACCGAAGCUAGGGCAUUCCUACGUAAGUAGGGAUGGGUAGGGGAGCGUUCUGUGCGCAGUGAAGUUAAGGGGUAACCCUUGGUGGAGGGCACAGAAGUGCGAAUGCCGGCAUGAGUAGCGUAAACGCCGAUGAGAAUUCGGCGCACCGGAAGUCUAAGGUUUCCUACGGAAGGUUUCUCCGCGUAGGGUUAGCCGGGCCUAAGCCGAGGCCGCAAGGCGUAGUGCGAUGGACAACAGGUUAGUAUUCCUGUGCCACUACAUAGUCGUUAUCAGCAAAGUGGAGACCCGGGAGGGUAGGCAGAGCGUGCCCAUUGGACAUGGUGCGUCCCUAAACGAAGGCGUGGACUGGUAGGCAAAUCCGCCGGUCCGUUAAGCUGAGGUGCGGGGGAAGGCGCAGAGCAAUCUGCAGCCGAUUCUGUUGACCCCAUACUGGCAAGAAAAGCCGCGUUGCGAGAAUAUGUGGUGCCCGUACCGCAAACCGACACUGGUAGACAGGGAUAAGAGUCCCAAGGUGUUCGAGAGAACCCUCGUUAAGGAACUAGGCAACUUAACCCCGUAACUUAGGGAUAAGGGGUGCCCUUGGAUGUGUAGUCACUCGCUGGCGAAGCAUCCGGAGGUCGCAGCAAAGGGGCUCAGGCGACUGUUUAACAAAAACACAGGUCUCUGCAAACGCGAAAGCGGAAGUAUAGGGGCUGACUCCUGCCCAGUGCUGGAAGGUUAAGGGGAGGUGUUUCAAAAGCACCGAACCGAAGCCCCAGUGAACGGCGGCCGUAACUAUAACGGUCCUAAGGUAGCGAAAUUCCUUGUCGGGUAAGUUCCGACCCGCACGAAUGGAGUAACGAUCUGAGCGCUGUCUCAACGAGGGACUCGGCGAAAUUGAAGUAUCCGUGAAGAUGCGGAUUACCCGCGCCAGGACAAAAAGACCCCGUGGAGCUUUACUGUAGCUUGGCGUUGCAUCGAGGCUUUACUUGCGUAGGAUAGGUGGGAGGCUAUGAGCCGGGGCUUUCGGGUUCCGGGGAGCCAACGUUGAAAUACCACUCUGGUAAAGUUUUGGUGCUAACCACUCACCGUUAUCCGGGAGUGGGACAACGUCUGGCAGGCAGUUUGACUGGGGCGGUCGCCUCCCAAAAUGUAACGGAGGCGUCCAAAGGUUCCCUCAGGGUGGAUGGAAAUCACCCGAAGAGUGCAUAGGCAGAAGGGAGCUUGACUGCGAGACCUACAAGUCGAGCAGGGCCGAAAGGCGGGCUAAGUGAUCCUACGGUCCCGUGUGGAAGGGCCGUGGCUUAUCGGACAAAAGCUACCCCGGGGAUAACAGGCUUAUCUUCCCCAAGAGUUCACAUCGACGGGAAGGUUUGGCACCUCGAUGUCGGCUCGUCGCAUCCUGGGGCUGAAGCAGGUCCCAAGGGUCCGGCUGUUCGCCGGUUAAAGCGGUACGCGAGCUGGGUUCAGAACGUCGUGAGACAGUUCGGUCUCUAU
rnacentral:rRNA from 1 species